rnacentral:other from 1 species
UUAAUCCUGAUGUGUCCGUUGAUAAUUAUUAAUGUUUUGACCGAACAUUUUAAAGUCGGGAGCCUGUGUUUCCUUGCAGAUUACAUGCCCCAUUCGUUGAGGACGUAAAAACCAAGGGGCAGGGCACCCACCUGCCUAGAGCGGGAUCAAAACUUUCUAUUUAGACGGCACGAUCGGGAUUACU